CCUACGGGUGGCAGCAGUGGGGAAUAUUGCACAAUGGGGGAAACCCUGAUGCAGCGACGCCGCGUGAGUGAAGAAGGAUUUCGGUAUGUAAAGCUCUAUCAGUAGGGAAGAAAAUGACGGUACCUGAUUAAGAAGCCCCGGCUAACUACGUGCCAGCAGCCGCGGUAAUACGGAGGGGGCAAGCGUUAUCCGGAUUUACUGGGUGUAAAGGGAGCGUAGGCGGGAGCGCAAGUCUGAAGUGAAAUGCCGGGGCUUAACCCCGGAACUGCUUUUGAAACUGUUCAGCUAGAGUGCAGGAGAGGUAAGUGGAAUUCCUGGUGUAGCGGUGAAAUGCGUAGAUAUUAGGAGGAACACUCGUGGCGAAGGCGGCUUACUGGACCGUAACUGACGUUGAUGCUCGAAAGCGUGGGGAGCAAACAGGAUUAGAUACCCCUGUAGUC
rnacentral:rRNA from 1 species